AGCCCUGUGGUGUAAUUGGCAACAUCGCGCCCUUUGAAGGCGGAGAUUCCAGGUUCGAGUCCUGGCGGGGCUGCCA
rnacentral:tRNA from 1 species